GGCCUUAUGGUCUAGUCGUAUGAUUCUCCCUUUGGGUGUCCCAGUCUCGCAAGAUUCCGGAAUUUGAAAUACCUCAAGGCUGGGAGAGGUCUCGGGUUCAAUUCCCGAUGAGGCCC